rnacentral:rRNA from 1 species
UACGUAGGCAGCGAGCGUUGUUCGGAAUUACUGGGCGUAAAGGGUGCGUAGGCGGUUCUUUAAGUUCGGUGUGAAAUCUCCUGGCUCAACUGGGAGGGUGCGCCGGAAACUGGAGUGCUUGAGCGUGGGAGAGGAAAGCGGAAUUCCUGGUGUAGCGGUGAAAUGCGUAGAUAUCAGGAGGAACACCUGUGGUGAAGACGGCUUUCUGGACCAUAGCUGACGCUGAGGCACGAAAGCGUGGGUAGCAAACAGG